CCUACGGGCGGCAGCAGUGGGGAAUUUUGCGCAAUGGGGGCAACCCUGACGCAGCAACGCCGCGUGAGUGAUGAAGGCCUUCGGGUCGUAAAGCUCUGUCAGAGGGGAAGAAAUGCAGGUGGUGAACAACCAUUCUGUUUGACGUUACCCUCAAAGGAAGCACCGGCUAACUCCGUGCCAGCAGCCGCGGUAAUACGGAGGGUGCGAGCGUUGUUCGGAAUUAUUGGGCGUAAAGCGCGUGUAGGCGGUUUGUUAAGUCUAAGGUAAAAGCCCGGGGCGAAACCUGGAAAGUGCAUUGGAUACUGGCAGACUUGAGUACGGGAGAGGAGAGUGAAAUUCCCAGUGUAGGAGUAAAAUCCGUAGAUAUUGGGAGGAACACCGGUGGCGAGGGCGGCUCUCUGGACCGAUACUGACGCUGAGGCGCGAAAGCGGGGGGAGCUAACAGUAUUAGAUCCCCGGGUAGU
rnacentral:rRNA from 1 species